CGACUCUCGGCAACGGAUAUCUCGGCUCACGCAUCGAUGAAGAACGUAGCAAAAUGCGAUACUUGGUGUGAGUUGCAGAAUCCCGUGAACCAUCGAGUUUUUGAACGCAAGUUGCGCCCGAAGCCUUCUGGUUGAGGGCACGUCUGCCUGGGCGUCACG
rnacentral:rRNA from 1 species